GUCAAAAUUUCAAUUUCAACUAAAAGGCUAAAAGCCCGAGAUAUAUAUUUUCUGAGUUGCGUCCAGUAUUCUUUGAGUGGCAUCCAGUUUUCUGAGUGGGAUUCAGCAAUCGGUGUGGCUGCCAGCCAUAAAGGAUAGCCAGCGAAAAAAUUUAAAGUACUUAUAAAAUUCCGGGUGGAAACCCCAGUCAAUGCUGCCACAAGUUGCCGCCAAAGGCGCAUCUUAUUGGUUCGGCCAAUUUGCUGGAGGACUUACCGCCUCACGAAUGCCAAAAUCAAAAUCGCGGGGCACAAUCGUCAGGUUGGCCCGCGAGGAAUGAUUUUUAGAAAUUAGUGCCCUGAAGUACACCUGCUUAUUGGCUAGGCAUAUCGUACCCGAAGUGCAGAUUUGCAGAGCGGACCAGUUGGCAGUUUAAUUCGACUAUAUAACCUGUUCCGAUGCCCAUCAUGCCGCGCGUCCGCACACCAGCCGAGUUUUAAGGAUGUGCGCGAAUCCGUCUGGGAGAUUCCCGAGUGGAAUAUCGCUGCCGCAGAUGUAGGGAUUUAAGCCCGUUUACGUGUAAAAGCGCUGCAUGUGUGAACGGCCUUAACCUAGCGUGGUACACUGGCCAACCGGGCUUAACCUUGAUUAAAGCCUAGUACUCAGAUCGGCUAAGAGUUUCACUAGUCGAAAAAUCUUAUUCUUUGUAGUGUGGCCGAAGUUUUCAAA